AUUGAACGCUGGCGGCAGGCCUAACACAUGCAAGUCGGGCGAGCGGAGGACGGGAGAGUAAUGUAUGGGGAUCGGCCUGAUGGAGGGGGAUAACAACUGGAAACGGUAGCUAAUACCGCAUACUAACAGAGGAGCCUAGGUCGGAUUAGCUAGUUGGUGGGGUAAAGGCCUACCAAGGCGACGAUCCGUAACUGGUCUGAGAGGAUGACCAGUCACACUGGAACUGAGACACGGUCCAGACUCCUACGGGAGGCAGCAGUGGGGAAUAUUGGACAAUGGGCGAAAGCCUGAUGCAGCCAUGCCGCGUGUAUGAAGAAGGCCUUCGGGUUGUAAAGUACUUUCAGUCGGGAGGCGUUACCGACAGAAGAAGCACCGGCUAACUCCGUGCCAGCAGCCGCGGUAAUAC
rnacentral:rRNA from 1 species